rnacentral:rRNA from 1 species
AAAGGCAAAUUUGCCCUUUGCAUUUGACGCAUUGAUUUCUUCAGAUCUCAGAAGCUAAGCAGGCCUGGUUAGUACUUGGAUAGGAAAAUCCCUGGGGCACCCACAUUGCCUAUU